rnacentral:rRNA from 1 species
AUGUUUGUGGAUCCCGUAAUGUCAGAUGAGGAGGAUGAGGAGGCAGAUGCCAACCAUGAAGGCAAGCUCCUUUCCCAUCUGGUUAAAGACACAACUGAAGUAGACUUGGAUGAUUGUCGUGGUGGGCGCACGGCAGAUGCCAAGGGAUGGCUAAAGAGAGGAGGAGGCUCGAGGGCGCUAGUGGGCUCCAGAGGCGAGGUUGGCAUGAGCGGGCGCGGGACGCCGGACAUACCCAGGUUCGGGGCUCUCUGGAGAGAUAAUACCCCUAGUCCUGCCGAGUAUAGUUGGAUAAUCGAUAGUACAAUGUUGCUCCUGGAGCUGUAUGGAGGAGGGAGGAAGCUGGCCAGGGCUUGGGCUGCUCCUUCUCUCCGGUGUUGCUGUUUUGUGGCAAGUCCUCCUGCUUUUCCUCCUGAAUGA